ensembl:lncRNA
GGGUUCCAUUUUCUCCACAUCCUUGUCAACAUUUUUUAUUUAUGUUCUUUUUGUUGAUGGACAUCCUGACAGGUGUGAGGUGCUAUUUCAUUAUGGUUUUGAUUUGCAUUUCCCUGAUGAUGAGAGAUGUUGAGCAUCUUUUUCUUGUGCCUGUGGCGAACAGACCUUUUCCUUCUUAUUUCACGUGUGUGGGUCAAAGAACUGAAGUUAUUUUCCCAAGGUCCCUCAUUUAGGAAGAAGAGGGAACAGAAAAAUUGGUGAGCCUUUGGAGGCUUAUUUCUGCUUUUUGAGUCUUGGUUACUCAAAGGAUGUGGAAGAUCCUGCCAGAAACCCUUGCAACAGAGAAGGAAUAAACUCUGCCUGCUCACUGGGAGAAUGAUUAACUGGGAGGUCUUGAAGGGAAAAGAGAAGCCAGAUGAAGACAGGAUGGACCACUACCUCUGGUGAAGCAGAGAUGACAUCUUUGGUUGAUGAGCUCAAAGCAGAAAUGGCCCAGUCCCUUCAAGAGAUGGCACUGCCCACUUCACUCCACAUUAAGAGAAGUCUUGACACUAUCACUUGCACUCCCAUUAUUGCCACUAUCUCUACAAAAUCAAACAUUACAGACACACAUUCUUGUGGGAGGGCAGUAGGCAUGAGAAGGAAUUAUUUCCUCCAUCAGAAUCUUUCUUCAGAUGUUCUGGCUUGGGACUUGCUGUGGCGUGAAGGGGAUGGACUUUCUAUAUACCUGGGGGAUGAGCUUGGAGAGAAGAACUCUCUUUGGAGGCUUUCAGUAGAAGAAUGUAUUCUGUCUUGGGAAUAUGUUCAGCAUAUUCAGAGCUAGUGAAUGCCUGGCACCUGAAAAUAAGUGAUCCCCACUGAGGGUCACCAUGGCGAUUCAACAGCUAGAAGGGUCUGGAGGAGAUGCACAUGAGACCUGAGGUUGGUACUAACUAUGCGAAAAUAGGAAACUUUCUCAUCUUUCCCAGCAUCCUUUUCCUCCUGUGUAAAAUGGGAGCAAUUGCCUUUGUUUACAGGGCUGUUAGAAAGUUUAGAUGAGACAAUAGGCAUAAAAGUACUCAAUCAGAGGCUAACAUGAGUGCUAUAAAGACAAAAGAGUGCUGGUAAUUCUGAGCAGGCAGAGGUUAAUGUGUGGAGUCAUCAGAGAGUCCGGUGGAGAAGAUGAGCUAGACACAUUGAAUUCCUUGAAUUGUUGAUGAUUUUUCAGCUUUUAUCUUAACGUUACAAUAAUAAUACGUGCUCAUUGUGAAAAAUUUUGGGUGGGGAACAUAAACAAGAAAAUUGAAGUCUUUUCUAGUCUUGUCACUCUAGUCAAGCACUCUUAUCAAUGCUUGUUAACAUUUCUGGGAAAUCUUUACCACAUGUAACUUGGGUGAAAGAGAGGAGAGAGAAAAUUCUGGUCAUUUACUACUGUUUGAACAUAGAGGCUUGGCUUAAGCAAGGAGAACAUUUGGGUCAGGGGUGAGAAACUGUAGCAGAAGAUAAAGUUGGAGACAGAUCAGACAGGUUCUGUAUGCAAAGGCAUCAAUAGUUUCCCUUCUGAUUUUUUUAAAAGGAAAGUCGUAAAACCUUAACUUUCUGUCUCUCUUCCUGCUCUUUCACCUUCUGAUCUUUAUCAAUGCUCUCAAACAAAUUGACAUGAAUUGCCAUGGGAAAGGCUAUUACCUAGCCAAGAGAACAAUGGGAUUGAGGUGCCAGAGUCAGUUGUCCUCUCCUAUGAAAUAAAUUGUGGGUCUGUGCUGGAUUCUUGUAUGGG